CGCGUCACACACGUUUGUCGUGUUUCCGCUGGUCACAGCAUCGCUUUGACUAGAGAGCGCACAACUACUUUCGCAAGGAGAAUGUUGUGCUGUUCGUCUUCAAGACGCUUCUCUCUCGCUGUUAGUUGUUAGCCAGAGUUCAGUGUUCUGCUGCCGAGUGAGGUGACCAGCACCUGAGAGAAAGAGAGUGCGUUAUUGUGUUUCCAGUGGUCACAGCGUCGUGUUGGCUGGCGAGCGCUCAAGCUUGCAAGAAGAUCUUUCUGCUUUUGAAAGAGUUUGCGCCUCGCUGUUAGCCAUGUUGCAAUGUUUUGCUGCUGAGUGUAAUCACCAGCACCAGAGAGAUAAUUGUUCUUAAUCUCGUUUCCCCGUGGACAAGGAGAAGGUAGCCCCCUCUAGGCCUCUGACUGGGUAAAGAUGUGUCGGUGAGCUUGAUCGAAUCUUCACUUCACUAGUGCCAAUUGAUAUGUCAGAAGCUACAAUGGUAGCCAUGGAAGAGAGGAGCUUCACGGAGACGAUCGAGAUCCAGGCGAAAAAAGUAUCGGUCCUCUGCUGAUAGGAACUCCAGGACAAACAAAAGCAGAACAAUCGGACAAUGGGACUUUUUACUCAUUCUGCCAGGCUGAGGAAGCAAUUCUCCAGUGCGCGGACGUUGCAACAAGAGGUUUGGACAUUCCUGAAGUGGACUGCAUCGUACAGUUCGAUCCUCCGGAUAACCCCCAAGGAGUACAUUCAUCAAGUUGGGAGAACUGCCCCUGCUCGAACCAAGGACAAUGCUGUGCUGUUUCUGCUCCCCGAAGAGCUCACAUUCCUAUUCUUCUUGAGGCAUGCAAAGGUACCACUAGAGGAGUAUGACCUUGGACCUAAGAAGAUUGGAUACCUUCAGUCACAGAUUGUCGAUCGGCUCAUGACAUCAAGUCACGCAUUGCUGGAGCAUCGAGGGCCUUCGGGGCGCUGCGUCGUACGGUGUUCAUGGACCGCAAUCCAUCAGUUGCCACUAAGCGCCAGGUGUUGUAUCCCUGCUGCUCUACUACUCUGAGUGCUGGGUGCCGCUGAGCCGGGAUGUAGCCGCCCUCUCCACAUUCCAUACGAGAUGUAUCCGUUCGAUCCUGGGUAUCAAUCAACUUGACAUCUGGACAUCCCGCGUGACUAACACAGAGGUUCUGGCAAUCUGGAACUCCGCCAGACAAGACGAUCUACCGACCUGGCUCCUGCGUCGCCGAAUGGAGUGGCUUGGUCAUCUGUGCAGAAUGGAGGGGGAGCGUACUCCGCGUCAGCUACUAUUUAACGCCCUCUUGCCGACCCGUCCUGCCUGUGGCCCUCGGAAGAGGUGGCGUGACGCCUUGGGAGCGGAUGUUCGAUGCCUCGACCUGGGCGAUGAGGAAUGGUUUGACCUGGCACAAGAGCGCAGUAAAUGGCGAGGGCCGUACUCCAGCGUUGCGUCAUCUGGACCACGCCCGCAACCACGAAAACCAUGCGCCGUCUGUGGCCGGUCACUGUCGAAGAGUGGUAUGGCCCGACACAAGUGCAAAGAGGAGCGCAGCAAGCCGAUCGCAGAUCAGAUUGGGAGCAGAAAAUGCCCGGCGUGUAAGAGAUGGUUCAGGAGCGCCGGAGGCCUCGCUGUCUAUAAGUGUCGACCCGACGACGAUCGUUCUACAGGCACAGUGGCGAACCCUCCUUUGUCUGCGCCCAACUCGGUUGCGGCAGUACCAGUGCCGGCGAGGACUCAGCUAACACUACCCUGCUGCCAGGCUCAUUGCAGCGCAUGUGGCAGAUGCUGCCGAUCAAAGAGGGGUUUCCAACUCCACAGCUGCGCAAGGUAUACCCGAACUCUCGUUGGCCGCUAGCCUGCGGAGCGUGCUGCGCACCGUAUUGAACGACCCACCCCAUGUCUGACAGCCCCUCGUAUGAGGGGACAUGUGACCGUUUUACGGCAAUGUUCAGGACAGGACAGGUGUGUGUGUGUGUGUGUGUGGUCUGUGUGUCUGUGUGUGUGUGUGUGUGUGUGUGUGUGUGUUU